rnacentral:rRNA from 1 species
UACGUAGGGUGCGAGCGUUAAUCGGAAUUACUGGGCGUAAAGCGUGCUCAGGCGGUUUUGUAAGCCAGAUGUGAAAUCCCCGGGCUUAACCUGGGAAUGGCAUUUGGGACUGCAAGGCUCGAGUGCGGCAGAGGAGACUGGAAUUCCUGGUGUAGCAGUGAAAUGCGUAGAUAUCAGGAGGAACACCGAUGGCGAAGGCAGGUCUCUGGGCUGACACUGACGCUCAUGCACGAAAGCGUGGGGAGCAAACAGG